rnacentral:rRNA from 1 species
GAGUUUGAUCAUGGCUCAGAUUGAACGCUGGCGGAAUGCUUUACACAUGCAAGUCGAGCGGCAGCGCGGGGCAACCUGGCGGCGAGCGGCGAACGGGUGAGUAAUGCAUCGGAACAUGUCCAUGUCGUGGGGGAUAGCCCGGGCGAAAAGCCGGAUUAAUACCGCAUACGCUCGAGAGAGGAAAGCCGGGGACCGCAAGGCCUGGCGCGAUUGGGGUUGGCCGAUGUCCGAUUAGCUAGUUGGUGAGGUAAAGGCUUACCAAGGCGAUGAUCGGUAGCUGGUCUGAGAGGAUGAUCAGCCACACUGGGACUGAGACACGGCCCCAGACUCCUACGGGAGGCAGCAGUGGGGAAUUUUGGACAAUGGGGGCAACCCUGAUCCAGCCAUUCCGCGUGAGUGAAGAAGGCCUUCGGGUUGUAAAGCUCUUUUGUCCGGAGCGAAACGGAAGUGGUGAAUAUCCACUUCUACUGACGGUACCGGAAGAAUAAGCACCGGCUAACUACGUG